CAGCCGCCACGGUAAUACAGAGGUCCCGAGCGUUGUUCGGAUUCACUGGGCGUAAAGGGUGUGUAGGAGGUUUGGUAAGUCAGGUGUGAAAUCCCGCAGCUUAACUGCGGAACUGCAUUCGAUACUGCCGAACUAGAGGAUCGGAGGGGGAAGCGGAAUUCUUGGUGUAGCGGUGAAAUGCGUAGAUAUCAAGAGGAACACCGGUGGCGAAGGCGGCUUCCUGGAAGAUACCUGACUCUGAAACACGAAAGCUAGGGGAGCGAAUGGGAUUAGAUACCCCAGUAGUCCCUGUCUCUUAUAC
rnacentral:rRNA from 1 species